ACUUGGUGAUGUGGGCAUUUGCGCAAGAGGUUCCUAAAGCGCUCCCAUGUCUCGAAAAAUUAUUCCUUAUCCAAUUAUAGAAAACUAGUGAUUGCCUUCCUCGGCU